rnacentral:rRNA from 1 species
GAUGAACGCUGGCGGCGUGCCUAACACACGCAAGUCGAGCGAACCCUUCGGGGUGAGCGGCGGACGGGUGAGUAACGCGUGGGUAACCUGCCCUAUACACACGGAUAACGUACCGAAAGGUACGCUAAUACGGGAUAAUAUUGUUGGAUGGCAUCUUCUAACAAUCAAAGCUCCGGCGGUAUAGGAUGGACCCGCGUCUGAUUAGCUAGUUGGUGAGGUAAUGGCUCACCAAGGCGACAAUCAGUAGCCGACCUGAGAGGGUGAUCGGCCACACUGGAACUGAGACACGGUCCAGACUCCUACGGGAGGCAGCAGUGGGGAAUAUUGCACAAUGGGCGAAAGCCUGAUGCAGCAACGCCGCGUGAGCGAUGAAGGUCUUCGGAUCGUAAAGCUCUGUCCUCAAGGAAGAUAAUGACGGUACUUGAGGAGGAAGCCCCGGCUAACUACGUGUCAGCAGCCGCGGUAA